AGUGAACGCUGGCGGUAGGCCCAACACAUGCAAGUCGAACGGCAGCACAGUAAGAGCUUGCUCUUACGGGUGGCGAGUGGCGGACGGGUGAGGAAUACAUCGGAAUCUACUUUUUCGUGGGGGAUAACGUAGGGAAACUUACGCUAAUACCGCAUACGACCUACGGGUGAAAGCAGGGGAUCUUCGGACCUUGCGCGAUUGAAUGAGCCGAUGUCGGAUUAGCUAGUUGGCGGGGUAAAGGCCCACCAAGGCGACGAUCCGUAGCUGGUCUGAGAGGAUGAUCCGCCACACUGGAACUGAGACACGGUCCAGACUCCUACGGGAGGCAGGAGUGGGGAAUAUUGGACAAUGGGCGCAAGCCUGAUCCAGCCAUACCGCGUGGGUGAAGAAGGCCUUCGGGUUGUUAAGCCCUUUUGUUGGGAAAGAAAAGCAGCAGGUUAAUACCCCGCUGUUCUGACGGUACCCAAAGAAUAAGCACCGGCUAACUUCGUG
rnacentral:rRNA from 1 species